rnacentral:rRNA from 1 species
AGAGUUUGAUCAUGGCUCAGAUUAAACGCUGGCGGCAUGCCUUACACAUGCAAGUCGAACGGCAGCACGGGGGCAACCCUGGUGGCGAGUGGCGAACGGGUGAGUAAAGCAUCGGAACGUGCCUGGAGUGGGGGAUAACGUAGCGAAAGUUACGCUAAUACCGCAUAUUCUGUGAGCAGGAAAGCAGGGGAUCGCAAGACCUUGCGCUCUGGGAGCGGCCGAUGUCGGAUUAGCUAGUUGGUGGGGUAAAGGCCUACCAAGGCGACGAUCCGUAGCGGGUCUGAGAGGAUGAUCCGCCACACUGGGACUGAGACACGGCCCAGACUCCUACGGGAGGCAGCAGUGGGGAAUUUGGACAAUGGGCGAAAGCCUGAUCCAGCCAUGCCGCGUGAGUGAAGAAGGCCUUCGGGUUGUAAAGCUCUUUCGGUGGGGAAGAAAUUGCAUAGGCUAAUACCCUGUGUAGAUGACGGUACCUGGAGAAGAAGCACCGGCUAACUACGUG